rnacentral:rRNA from 1 species
AGUCAUAUGCUUGUCUCAAAGAUUAAGCCAUGCAUGUCUAAGUUCAAGCGAAAAUAAAGUGAAACCGCGAAUGGCUCAUUACAUCAGUUAUGGUUCCUUAGAUCGCACUUACUACUUGGAUAACUGUGGUAAUUCUAGAGCUAAUACAUGCGCUGGGCCCCAACCCUCGUGGAAGGGGCGCUUUUAUUAGAUCAAAGCCAAUCGGGUCUUCGGGCUCGUUUUGUUGGUGACUCUGAAUAACUUUGCUGAUCGCAUGGUCUCGUACCGGCGACGUAUCUUUCAAGUGUCUGCCUUAUCAACUGUCGAUGGUAGGUUAUGCGCCUACCAUGGUUGUAACGGGUAACGGGGAAUUAGGGUUCGAUUCCGGAGAGGGAGCCUGAGAAACGGCUACCACAUCCAAGGAAGGCAGCAGGCGCGCAAAUUACCCACUCCCGGCACGGGGAGGUAGUGACGAAAAAUAACGAUGCUAAACUCAUACGAGGCUUAGCAAUCGGAAUGAGUACACUUUAAAUCCUUUAACGAGGAUCUAUUGGAGGGCAAGUCUGGUGCCAGCAGCCGCGGUAAUUCCAGCUCCAAUAGCGUAUAUUAAUGUUGUUGCGGUUAAAAAGCUCGUAGUUGGAUCUCGGUUUCGGGCGGGUGGUGCACCUUGCGGUGUUUACUGUCUGCCCGGACGAUUUUGCUAGUUCGUUCAUGGUGCUCUUAACCGGGUGCCUUG